rnacentral:rRNA from 1 species
UAUGGUAAUGCCAGCAGCCGCGGUAAUACGUAUGGUGCAAGCGUUAUCCGGAUUUACUGGGUGUAAAGGGAGCGCAGGCGGUGCGGCAAGUCUGAUGUGAAAGCCCGGGGCUCAACCCCGGUACUGCAUUGGAAACUGUCGUACUAGAGUGUCGGAGGGGUAAGCGGAAUUCCUAGUGUAGCGGUGAAAUGCGUAGAUAUUAGGAGGAACACCAGUGGCGAAGGCGGCUUACUGGACGAUAACUGACGCUGAGGCUCGAAAGCGUGGGGAGCAAACAGG